CAGCUACAAUUUUUUCAACUAUUAUAUAUAUAUAUAUAAUUUUUAAUGAUUUUUCUUUUUUGAUUGAAAUGAAAAAAGAAAAGAUAUUUUUUUAUGAUAUUUGCCGAAUUCGUUUCAAUAUCUAUUAAAAGAUAAAUGUAAAAAGAUUUACAGGUUUAUUUAUAAAAAAGAAAAAAAAAUUUUUAACUUAACCUUAAAAACUUCGAAAAUAAAAGAAUCGAGAAAAAGUUUUAUCAUCUUAAAGCUUUGUUUGAAUUGUAUUAUAUAAGACUAACAAAUUUUCGUUUGAUUCAAUAGCAACAGAAUGAUCUAAUGUAAGCUGAUCACGUUUUGUAAUUCACUCGGUAUAUGUGAAAUCAUUCCAAUUUAAGAAAUUCCAAGUUUUUUUUUCUUCAUGAGAUAAAAUUUCUUCGAAUUUCUAAUGCGUAAGGACCUUGACGAUCUUACGUCUGCCCUGUUAUGUCGAUCACAUUACCGCCAGCGGCAAAUGUUGGAAGUUUUAUCUUAAUAAUAAUAAUAAAUUUUUAAUUUUUCCGACAAAUUAAAGCUUUAAAUUGAUUGAAUAUAAUAAUUAAAAAGUAAUAUUUAAUAUUGAUAUAUAAAAUUAAUAUUUUAUAUAAUAAGUAUAUUAAGUUAUAUAAUUAAUUAAAUAAUUUAAGUAAUCGGAUAAAAAAUGGGUCAAGUUUUUAGAACUGUUAUUAUGAAAUUAAAAAAUGAUUAAAAAAAGAGAGAAGAGAGGAGGAAAAAGAGAGAGAUUAGUGAAACGUAAUAAUUAUACGAUGUAGUUUUAAAGAGAGAGAAGAAAAAAAACAAAAAUAAAAAGUCAACAGCACACAGUUCUCAAGUGGAUCGUCCAUUAAUUGUAAAGUACUGACCGUAUCCAGUGUUCUUUAAUUUCGAUGAUUGGAUGAGAAUAAUAUGAUAAAAAUGAGAAAUUUUAAUGAAUUAUAACUUUUUAACGUGACGCAUCGUUUGAUUAUGAAAAUGAAUUUACAGAGAUGAUAAAUAGAGAGACGACCAUACAUUUGGGAAUAUUCUCAACUAUCUUUGAUUUGGGGACGUUGUUUGAACCGGACAUAGAAUAUGGAUAACGUUCAAAUUAGAUAUCCAGUAAGGAUUAUCCCAACAAGCUGUGUCCUACAUCCAUAUUCUAUUCCUUUGAUUAAGUCAUGCAUUUCUCUAUGACACCUAUUCGUUUGAGAAGUUGUUUAGUUAGGAUUCCAUUCCAUCAGGGUAUCCUGUAAAACGAAUUUGAAUUUCCUAUUCACGAGUUUAUGAAUAUCGUCAUCUUGGAAGUGUUACAAUAUUACAAUGAACGCAUUUAUAUAUCGACGUGCGUUAAGAAAAAUAAUGCAUUUCAAUGUUCUUACGAAAAUUAAUACAUUUAUUAUGAAAAGAAGCAUGUUUAAAUUAUGUCCGCGAUAAGUAAUACGUUUUGAAAGAAAAAUAUUAACUUAUUUUGAACAUUGCUACGAAAAGUACAAUGUUUCACUUUUUAUUCAAUUAAUUAUGUUCGAUUAAUUAGUCUUAUGAAGACUGGCGUUACUAGUGAAAUGUUGUUAUUUUUUGCGAAUAAUAAUUAAAACGUAUUUCUUUUCAUGACGUAUUACAUCGUAAUAUUUUAGUUUUUCUAGCCACAAAAAAAAGAUAACGUGCUAUUAUUCGUCGCUUAAAAAUGAAAAUACAUAUCACAUUUCUCGAACGAAAUCAAAACUUAUUAUUUUUCAUGGUCACAAAGUUUAAAAUUCUAAACUACGUAAGACUAAUGAAACACGUUACAUUUCGUUACGCACGUCGAUACACUCUACAUACGUGACUAUGAAAACUAGGACAUUUUAAUAUUCCGUCACGAAUAGAAGCACGUUUCGAUUACAUUCACGGGAAAGUAGCAUGUUCGACGUUAAUCGCGAUGUAACCAGCACGAUUUAUAAUUCGUCACGAACAAUAGUAAUUUAUUUUGAAUAUUGUUACGAAAAGUAGGACGUUUUAUUUUUUCUUUAAAUUAUGUUCAAUUAAUUACGAUUCAAUUAAUCACGAUUCAAUUAAUUACGAUUCAAUUAAUUAUGAUUCAAUUAAAUUAAUAUUACGAAGAGUGGCGUAUUUCAGAAAUGAAAUGUUGCUAAUUUUUGCGACUAAUGAUCGAAACACGGUUCUUUUCGUGACGGAUUAAACUGAAGCGUUCUAGUUUUUCGUAAUAAAAAAAUAUACAACGUGCUAUUAUUCGUUCCUAUAAAAAUAAAAUACUGUGAAAAUUAAAAAUACAUGCCACUUUUCCCCAAUUCGAAAUCGAAUUUUAAUUCGAAAUUUAUUAUCUUUCGUGGUCAAACGAAGUUCAAAUUUUUAAUCUAUUUAAAACUAAUGAAUUUUGUUAGAUUUUGUUAACGCACGUCGAUGUCGAGAAUAUAAAUGAGAAAGAUAAAGAGUAAAUGAGAAGGGAAAGGUGGUUCGUUAGUCAAUGUAAAAUUUAUUUCAAAUUCAAGACGUCCUCUAGAAAAAGUAAUCGUUCCAGUGGAAAGGCAAAAAUCGAUACAUUUAGCAGAUACGGUCACGAUCGAGACCAAUUCGCCAAAAUUUCAACGAUUACAAUGAUUUUUCGCCAAAAUGGGGAUACGAUGUUCGGUGUAUUGAAGUCAUACGAAAGAAGUCGUCAUUCCUUUCAAACGUCAUUCUUACGUGGGCGACGCGAAAUGACAAAGAAAGAAAGAAAAUCAAAAAGGAAAAAUAAAAUAAAAUAAAAUAAAAUAAAAUAUAUAAAAUCGAAUUAGUAUACAUACAUUACAAACCACAUAAACAGUAUAUACUGUUACGUUAAACGUACCUAAGUAAAUACAUAUACACAUAUAUACAUGCAUAUAUAUAUGUGUGUGUGUGUGUGCAUAUAGAUAUAUAUGUAUGUACCUAUUGAAAUCGUUGAAUUGUUGAAAAGUAUUCGAAACGUUGGUUAACUAGAGAAAAAUCGUCGCAGCUUUUCAACGAUAUCGUUGUGGUUGUUUUAUUGAAACUAUGUAUAAACAACGAAAUUACAAGUACAUCAUCAUGUGUGGUGUAACGUGUAAGGAUUCUGCUUAGAAAGAUCGUUGAAUCAAGGCCUCUCAUUGAUUCAAAUUCUUGCCUCCCAUCUGUUGUUGUUGUUGUUCUUGUCGUUUUUUUUCUUUUUCCUUUUCCUUUAAGUAUUUUUUUUUCUUUUUUUUUUUGUUUUUCUUUUUUUCCUUUUUUUCUUUCUUUUCUUUCAACUACGUGUGCAAACCAUGUUGGUGCUACUGUUUUAUUUUAUUUUUAUUUAUUUAUUUAUUUAUUUAUUUUAUUUUAUUUUAUUUUAUUUUAUUUUACUUUAUUUUAUUUUUUUUAAUUUUUUUUUUCGUGUACUUACAUCAUACAUGCAUGCGUUUAUAUCUGUCGCUGUCAUUGCGACGAUGCGUUUUUUUGUUUAUUUAUUUAUUUUUUUUUUUUGGUUUUUUGGUUUUUCAUUUUUUCUUCUUUCCGUUUUCUCUUUAUGUUAAUUCUUUUCAUAUUCGUAUUUGUUAUAAAUCAAUGAUUUCUUCUUCUUAUUUCCCUUUAUCUUCGUACGGUUUUUCGUAAACAGACUAUGAGGAUUUGUCAAUCGAUCGUCUCGUAUUACAUUUGGGUUCGAUUUGUGGAAAAUUUUUUUAAAAGCAACAACGAGUCCUUUUCUGUCUCCUUUUUUUUUCUUUUGUCUUUUUUCCAUUUUUUUCUUUUCUUUUAUGUUGUCUCUUUGACUCUUCGUUCUUUUUUUUUUAUUUUUUACAAUAGUUUUCUUCAGUCGCGUAAAGAUCGAAGAUAUAUUUUCACAGGUAUGUGUAAUACAUACAUACAUACAUACAUACAUACAUACAUACAUACAUAAGUACGUAAAUAUACUUUUCAAUCGUUGACGCUGGAAGAUUAUCCUUGACUCCGGAUACUAAUUAUUUUAUACAUUUAACUCAACGAUUUUCUUUUACUUCUUGGUACGAUUCCAAUCAAUGUCGUCGGUAAAGAGUUAUCGGUCGAUAGUAAGUAGCAUGUAAGUAGCGAGUAAUAGGUGAUAUUGAGGGAAUAUUUAAAAGACUCGAUAUGUAAGUGACUAUAAAUUAUCUCAUUUUAUCCAGAAUAUUAUAAUAAUAAUAAUAUAAUAGUAAUAAUAAUAAUAAUAAUAAUAUUAAUAGUAAUAAUAAUAAUAUUAAUAAUAAUAUUAAUAAUAAUAUUAAUAAUAAUAUUAAUAAUAAUAAUAAUAAUAAUAAUAAUAAUAAUAAUAAUAAUAAUAAUAAUAAUAAUAAUAAUAAUAAUAAUCUAGAGGAUCGACCGUUGAAAAAGAUCGCAACGAUAUCGUAGAAAUUUUAUAAAAAGUUUAAAUAAUAAAGGACAACGUGGCAGUUAUCGUUUGAAUUUACGUAAAUUGUUUUUUUCUCUUCUUCUUCUUUUUCUUUCUUUUUUCUUUUUUUCAUUUUUUUUUAAUGCAUUGCGCGAAUAUCCUCUUUGCGGAGAAAUACGUAAGUAAGAAAAGUUGCAAUACUUUUUUGGAUACCGUCCUAUUUCUUUUUCUUUUUAGAAUGAAGAAAAAAAAUAAAGAAAGUAAAAAAAAGAAAAUAAAGAAGAGAGAGAGAG